rnacentral:rRNA from 1 species
AUUGAACGCUGGCGGCAGGCCUAACACAUGCAAGUCGAGCGGAGCGGCGGACGGGUGAGUGAUGCCUAGGAGUCUGCCUGGUAGUGGGGGAUAACGUACGGAAACGGGCGCUAGUACCGCAUACUAACCGACAAGCCUAGCUCGGAUUAGCUAGUUGGUGGGGUAAGGGCCUACCAAGGCGACGAUCCGUAACGGGUCUGAGAGGAUGAACAGUCACACUGGAACGUAGACACGGUCCAGACUCCUACGGGAGGCAGCAGUGGGGAAUAUUGGACAAUGGGCGAAAGCCGGAUCCAGCCAUGCCGCGUGUGUGAAGAAGGUCUUCGGAGUGUAAAGCACUUUAAGUGGGGAGGCGUUACCCACAGAAUAAGCACCGGCUAACUUCGUGCCAGCAGCCGCGGUAAUUC